GCCAUUCCUGAGGGGAGGGAGGACCAGGAAAUUUACUCCUCGUUGCAUUUGCUGAGCCUCUUGGCUGAGACUGCUGUUUUUCUAAGGAUUGACUGAUCAGAUCCUGGCAGUCCUUUAAGUCACUUGAAGGGACGACUGGAAACGGGCUCUUCCCUAUGAGCUCUGAAGAUCAGACCUGCUGGACAGUAAGAAGGCAGAUUUGCUUCACUUUUCUUCAGUCCCUGGGACACAAACAAAAGAAACCAGAGCAAGUUCCUGCCUGCUGAAAUUCCAGGGGCUUGAACUACAUUCCAGCACAACCGAGAGGCAUUUUGAAUCUUUUCUUGGUAUAUGUCAGCCCUGCACUGCUCCCAGGCAACUGCACUUUAAGUUAGAUAUUAUUAAUUUCAAAGGUUUGACUACCAAUAGUUCUCAUUAAUUUCCAUGGCAACAUUGCCUGAAACAAGAUAACAAUUGCUUUGGGUUGUAUAACCAAAGUUCCUAACGUGAAGGAAUGCAAUCCAGGAAAAGUGCUCAGAUGGAGGGAACUGACUGACCUUGCAUAACCUCCCUAGGGCCAAACUUCCCUUCCUAUCUAGCAAUCUGCAUUCCUAGUUUGCUGAAAAUAUUGAACAGUUUGCACUUUCAGUCUGUGUCCUCCGGGCUUCAGUCUCCCGCAUGCCUCACAGCUUUCCUGAAACAUUUCACCCACACGUUUAUUCUUUAUAUUCCUGCUAACGACGCAUGGCUAGAGCUUUCAUAUGAGAUGUAGCAGGGAUAUAAAUGAUAAUAGAAAAUUUUAAAACCAUAUUACUU